AUCUCAUUACCCGCAGGAGAAGAAAACAACAGUGAUUCCCCCAGUAGUGGCGAGCGAACGGGGAAGAGCCCAAACCGGUAGCGUUUCGGCGAUACCGGGGUCAUGGGACCACGCCAUUCGAAACAAGAUGAAGUGCAAUUACCUGGAAAGGUAAGCCGCGGAGGGUGAUAGCCCCGUGCACGUCAAUUCUUGUGGAGAUAGUGGAAUCCCGAGUAGGGCGGGACACGAGAAAUCCUGCCUGAAUUCGCCAGGACCUCCUGGCAAGGCUAAAUACUCCCGAGAGACCGAUAGUGAACCAGUACCGCGAGGGAAAGGUGAAAAGUACCCCGAGCAGGGGGGUGAAAUAGACCCUGAACCCGCGCGCCUACAAGCGGUCGGAGCUGCCUUGUGCAGUGACGGCGUGCCUUUUGCAUAAUGAGCCUACGAGUUAGUCGUCACCAGCGAGGUUAAGGGCUUCAGGCCCGUCAGCCGAAGUGAAAGCGAGCCUUAACAGGGCGUAAAGUUGGUGGCGCUAGACGCGAAACCUUGUGAUCUACCCACGAGCAGGUUGAAGUCGCGGUAACACGUGAUGGAGGACCGAACCGGUAAACGUUGAAAAGUUUUCGGAUGACUCGCGGGUAGGGGUGAAAGGCCAAUCAAACUGGGAAAUAGCUCGUACUCUCCGAAAUGCAUUUCGGUGCAGCCUGUGAUGUUCUGUUCCAGAGGUAGAGCUACUGGUUGGACGCGAGGGCUUCACCGCCUAUCAAAUCCGGAUAAACUCCGAAUGCUGGAACACGAAAUCAUGGAGUGAGCCCGCGGGUGCUAAGGUCCGCGGACGAGAGGGAAAGAACCCGGACCACCGGCUAAGGUCCCGGAUGGACAGUUAAGUUGAUCAAACGAGGUGGGAUCGCGGAGACAGCUAGGAUGUUGGCUUGGAAGCAGCCAUUCAUUUAAAGAGUGCGUAACAGCUCACUAGUCGAGCGAUCCCGCGUGGAUAAUACACGGGCAUUAAACUGUCAACCGAAGCCGUGGGGUCAGCGAAAAGCUGACCGGUAGGAGAGCAUUCCUGCCAGCGUUGAAGGUCACCCGCGAGAGUGACUGGAGCGGCAUGAAAAGCAAAUGUAGGCAUAAGUAACGAUAAUGGGGGCGAGAACCCCCCACGCCGCAAGACCAAGGCUUCCCCGGCAAUGUCAAUCAGCCGGGGGUCAGCCGGCCUCUAAGGCUAACCCGAAGGGGGAUGCCGACGAGAAACGGGUUAACAUUCCCGUGCUUCUCGUCACCGUGACGCGGUGACGGGGUGAUGAAUGGACCGCGCGCUGACGGAAUAGCGCGUUGAAGGCCGUACCCUGUGACGGUGGUAGUCAAGCACGCCACCCGAGGCGACAGCCGAUAGUACCACGAGACUCCGGUCGAGUGGAUAGCGUCCAGGCAAUUUACCCCCGAGAAAACCCGCUAAACUUCAAGUGACGAGGAACCGUACUGUAAACGGACACACGUGGUCGGGUAGAACAUACCAAGGCGCUCGAGUGAUUCAUGGUCAAGGAACUAGGCAAAAUAGUCCUGUAACUUCGGGAAAAAGGACGCUCUAGUGAUAGAGCCGCAGAGUAAUGGCCCAGGCGACUGUUUACCAAAAACACAUGGCUAUGCCAAAUCGAAAGAUGACGUAUAUGGCCUGACACCUGCCCGGUGCCGGAAGGUUAAGAGGAGAGCUCAUCGGAAACGAGAAGGUUUGAAUUGAAGCCCCGGUAAACGGCGGCCGUAACUAUAACGGUCCUAAGGUAGCGAAAUUCCUUGUCGGGU
rnacentral:rRNA from 1 species